rnacentral:lncRNA from 1 species
GCGUGCCCUUUGCUCCUUGGGGGGCACGGCGCUGGGACCCAGGAGGACCCGGCUUGAGUCCUGGACAUGCGGAUUUCUAGAGUCAGGCAGGGGAGGCAUCCGGCCUCUGGAAGGCUGGGCUUCAGGUAGUGAAGGCGGUGUGUCACUGCGGUGGUAUCUGGGGAGGCGUGCCGAGCCUCUCCGUGUGCGCGUCCCCUCCAGAAAUCUCCACAUCCCCCUGCUUCUCUCUCCACCAGAGCCGCCUCUCCCUCUGCCGACUGCCUGCCUGCCUGCCUGCCUGCCUGCCUGUGCCAAGAAGCCUACCCGAAUCGAGGGAAAGAGAACGAUGCCGGGAGCGCCUUAACUUCACGCCGGGCGCAAGGGCGGAAGGGGCCGAUUGGUUGACAGCCGGCUGCCUUGCCUUAAGAAGCAGGGCGUCUGAUGUCAAGCCGCCUCUCCCUCUGCCGACUGCCUGCCUGCCUGCCUGCCUGCCUGCCUGCCUGCCUGUGCCAAGAAGCCUACCCGAAUCGAGGGAAGAGAGAACGGUGCCCGGGAGCGCCUUAACUUCACGCCGGGCGCAAGGGCGGAAGGGGGCCGAUUGGUUGACAGCCGGCUGCCUUGCCUUAAGGAGCAGGGCGUCUGAUGUCAGUGAGUGGGGCGGUUUCGUUGGGGGCGAGAGGCCUGGCCGACCUUGCGAGGGUCUUCCUCAACAUAAUAAAGGCUAUAUGUGACAAACCCACAGCUAACAUCAUUGUCAAUGGUGAAAAGCUGAAAGAAUUCCUGCUGAAAUCAGGAACAAGACAAGGAUGUCUGCUCUCUCCACUACUAUUCAACAUAGUUUUGGAAGUCCUAGCCACAGCAAUCAGAGAAGUAAAAGAGAUGAAAGGAAGAAGUAAAACUAUCACUAUUUGCAGAUGACAUGAUACUGUAUCUAGAGAAUCCUAAAGACUCUACCAGAAAAGUGCUAGAGCUCAUCCACGAAUUUGGCAAAGUCACAGGAUACAAAAUUAAUACACAGAAAUCAACUGCAUUUCUAUAUACUAACAAUGAAAGUGCAGAAAGAGAAAUUAGGGAAGCAAUCCCAUUUACCAUCACAUCCAAAAGAAUAAAAUACCUAGGAGUAAACUUACCUAAAGAGAC